AUGAUGGGUAGGGGAGCUUCCCAUACGGGUUGAAGCAUGACCGUAAGGAAAUGUGGACAGUAUGGGAGUGAGAAUGUUGGAAUGAGUAGCGAGAUGUGGGUGAGAAUCCCACAGGCCGUAAACCCAAGGUUUCCAGGGGAAGGUUCGUCCGCCCUGGGUUAGUCGGGACCUAAGCUGAGGCCGAAAGGCGUAGGUGAUGGACAACAGG
rnacentral:rRNA from 1 species